ensembl:lncRNA
GCUUGUUCCAGUCACCUCACGACAGGUCAGGAAAUUGGGAGACGAUAUUUGAACAAGGAAUAACGAUUGUAAUUGGAAAGCUAGCAGACCCAGAAGAUGGCAGACUAGGGUCCCCAAAAAAUAUCCCCUCUCAGCCCUAAUUCGGGGCUCCUUUUAUACACGGAAGGGGGAGGGGCCCGCUGUGGCGCUGACCAAUGACUGAGUGGGGCCGCUAACGGUCGCUGGUUGGCAGUUGCUUUUGCUAACGGUUGCUCGCUUGGGGGAGGGGCCCACGGUGGCCUGAUCAAUAGCUGAGCGAGGAUCGCAGAGCUCAAGCCUGCCCUGCGGAUGUUACAGAACCCUGCUGCAGUCAAAUGUUUUCGCUAGCCUGGCUCUGAAGGAAAUUCCAGUGCAGGAAUGCCAGAGAUGUUCUGAAGGAAGGAAGACAGGAGGACGAUUUUAAUGGAAAAUAUGACUUCAGCUACUGGCUCAGAUGGUCAUGAGUCUGGAAAGUGCUGAAAACCAGAGUUUGGGUGUGGUGGAUACUGGAGCUGGGGGUUGAGCAGUGAAUGCCAGUAUGAGGGAUGACAUCACCAGGCCCUUCAGGAUGGAAUGCUGGUGAGACAAGGUUCUCUUGGAGCAGACAUUGAGAUGGAGUUUGAGCAGCAAAGUAUUUAUUAGGGAUGCAGAAGAAUUGAUGCUUUUGAACUGUGGUGUUGGAGAAGACUCUUGAGAGUCCCUUGGACUGCAAGGAGAUCCAACCAGUCCAUCCUGAAGGAGAUCAGUCCUGGGUGUUCAUUGGAAGGAAUGAUGUCAAGCUGAAACUCCAAUACUUUGGCCACCUGAUGCGAAGAGCUGACUCAUCUGAAAAGACCCUGAUGCUGGGAAAGACUGAAGGCAGAAGGAGAAGGGGACAACAGAGGAUGAGAUGGUUGGAUGGCAUCACUGACUCAAUAGACAUGAGUUUGGGUCAUGGGAUCUUAGUUCCCCAACCAGGGAUUGAAACUGGGCCCUCAGCAGUGAAAGUGUGGUAUACUAACCACUGGACCUUAGGAACGCCAGGGACUUUCCACAAGUUUCUUUUUCAAAUAAACUUAUUAAAGUCAAAAAAGUGAGAAUGAAAAUAUUAGUGGAACAGACGAUAGCUGACAAAAAUCAUGAAGAUGAUACUUGAAUUUGGAAAAUGUUGAAUUACUGUGUAAAGCAACAAGCUUUAGCUUUUGUUGAGUCCAGAAGACAAUUGAUUUAGUUUCUUAUUGACAGCUGAAAAUAACUUCUCCAUUAAUCUUAGCAUUAAGUUUCGGCAUGAUUUCCAUUAUAUUUAAUUUUGGCUCAGAUCUAGUCCAGGCCAAUACCAUUUCCAAUGAUUAACAACUUCCAAUUUUGCAGAACAUUGGUGAAAAGAAAAGCAGAGAGGACUAAAAAAACAGUGACUAUAUUUUAAAAUCAAUGUUUGAUGCCAAUCAUCUUUAUUUGGCCUUGGAGUACAGAAUGAAGCAGGGCAAAGGCUAAGAGAGUUUUGCCAAGAGAAUGCACUGGUCAUAGCAAACACCCUCUUCCAACCACACAAAAGACUCUACACAUGGACAUCACCAGAUGGUCAACACCAAAAUCAGAUUGAUUAUAUGCUUUGCAGCCAACGAUGGAGAAGCUCUAUACAGUCAGCAAAAACAAGACUGGGAGAUGACUGUGGCUCAGAUCCUGAACUUACUGCCGAAUUCACACUUAAAUUGAAGAAAGUGGGGAAAACCACUACACCAUUCAGGAUUUUACCUAAAUCAAAUCCCUUAUGGCUAUACAGUGAAAGUGAAAAAUAGAUUCAAGGGACUAGAUCUGAUAGACAGAGUGCCUGAUGAACUAUGGAAAGAGGUUCAUGACAUUGUAUAGGAGACAGGGAUCAAGAUCAUCCCCAAGAAAAAGAAAUGCAAAAAAGCAAAAUGGCUGUCUGAGGAGGGCUUACAAAUAGCUGUGAAUAGAAGAGAAGCAAAAGGAAAAGGAUAAAAGGAAAGAUAUACCCAUCUGAAUGCAGAGUUCCAAAGAAUAGCAAGGAGAGAUAAGAAAGCCUUCAUCAGUGAUCAAUGCAAAGAAACAGAAGAAAACAUUACAAUGGGAAAGACUAGAGAUCUCUUCAAGAAAAUUAGAGAUGCCAAGGGAACAUUUCAUGCAAAGAUGAGCUCAAUAAAGGACAGAAAUGGUAUGGACCUAACAGAAGCAGAAUAUAUUAAGAAGAGGUAGCAAGAAUACACAGGAGAACUGUACAAAAAAGAUCUUCACGACCCAGAUAAUCAUGAUGGUGUGAUCACUCACUUAGAGCCAGGCAUCCUGGAAUGUGAAGUCAAGUGGGCCUUAGAAAGCAUCCCCUAUGAAUAAAGCUAGUGGAGGUGAUGGAAUUCCAGUCGAGCUAUUUCAGAUCCUAAAAGAUGAUGCUGUGAAAGUGCUGCACUCAAAAUGCCAGCAAAUUUGGAAAACUCAGCAGUGGCCAUGGGACUGGAAAAGGUCAGUUUUCAUUCCAAUCCCAAAGAAAGGCAAUGCCAAAGAAUGCUCAAACUACCACACGACUACAGUCAUCUCACACUCUAGUAAAGUAAUGCUCAAAAUUCUCCAAGCCAGGCUUCAGCAAUACAUGAACCGUGAAUUUCCAGAUGUUCAAGCUGGUUUUAGAAAGGGCAGAGGAACCAGAGAUCAAAUUGCCAACAUCUGCUAGAUCAUUAAAAAGCAAGAG